GCAUGUUUUAGUUGUGCUGAGAUGAAUAUGAUGUGAAAGUUGUGCUGACACUAAACUGCAGACAUCAGGCUGAUAUUAUACUGAUCCACACUGAGGAUCUUCAUGGUAAAGUCUGUUUUCUUCUUCUCUGGUUUAGUCCAUUGACUGCAGCAGAACAAUGUUCACAUUUCAAACCUUCAAAGAAGAAGAAAAAUCCUCCACUGGAUAAUUCACUGUGAAACUCUCCAACUCUUCAUUCCACCUUAAAGUCUGUCUUACACUGAAAUCCAAAGCAAAAUAUUGGAGAGCUGUGGUUUGUCAAAGAUCAGCUGUGAUUAUCUGGCAGCAGCACUGAAGUCCAACCCCUCCCAUCUGAGAGAGCUGAACCUGUGGGGAAACAACCUGAAGGAUCCAGAUGUGAAGCAGCUGUCUGAUCUUCAGCAGAGUCCAGACUACAGACUGGAGACUCUGGGGUGGAGCUGGUGAUGGUAAACAGGACGGUGUGUGUGCUGAGAGAGGAGGAGCUGUGUCCUGAUGAUCCAGAGAGGUUGAAGCAGCAGCAGCUUGUGUGUAGAGACGCUCUGACUGGGCCAUGUUACUGGGAGGUGGAGAGGAGAGCUUCAUCCAGCAGUGACUGACAGAGGAAUGAGAAGAAGUGCAGAUGACUGUCAGUGCUGCAGAGUGAACUGCUCUGAGAACAGCUCCACUGUCAGACACAAUGUAGAGUCCAGCAUCAUCCCUGUGUGUCCCUCUGGAUCUGACAGAGGAUCAUCAGUGUAUCUGGACUGCUCUGCUGCUGCUCUGUCCUUCUACAGUCUCUGCACAGUCUCUGUCUGACUCUGGCUACAUUUUUGGCAUUUAUAUUCUUGGUUGCUCUCUUUAUAUUUUUCACAUGCAAAAUGUGCCCAUCUUUGGCAAGAUUCACACUGCACCUGGAAAGGAAAAAUAAAUGGCUCAUAUUCUGUUUGGUGAAUACUAUUACUCAACAUUUUAAUUAUGAUUGGCAAGUAAUGAUACUAAGACUUAUGUGUUUCUUUGUUUGUUUUGUUUGUUUUACCAUUUCAAUCAUGCUGCGGUCAGCGUUAGCAUCUAACAUGGAGCAAACAAUGCAGUAGUCCUCAGCGUUCCCUGAAACACAAUCAUAGUUAGGUUUUAAUCAAACAUUAUUUAUUGAAUAAUUAAAAAAUAAUAGUACAUUUUUUCCAAAUAUACUUCCUGGAAAAUUAGUCUAAAUUAGACUUUGAGAAGGGUCUUAUCUGAAAGUGUUUGAAGAGCACUAUUUGUACUGUGCUGUUUGAAAAGCACUAUUUAAAUUGGAAGUACGCACUAACGUGAUAAGGACUUUACUGGACUUACCUCGAUUUUCAAGUAGGGUGCAAGCUAUCUGCAUUCGCUCCAGCACAACUGGCUCUGUAGUGGUUGACACCUCACUGACCUCUCCAAAAUCAAGGUAGUGUUCUGCAAACUGUGAGAUUGAUCAUAAUUAGAAUGUAAAGUCUUAAUUAGGUAAAGGAUAGGAUAAUUAUAAGCCACAAGGCUUCAGCCUAUUCCUUUUUCAGUUACUGUAUGAUUAAGUACUUCUAUGUAAAAUGAUCAUCUUUGUUGUUGUUGACCGAAAUAACUUUCACUUCACUUAAAUUCACUUAAAGUCUUAAUUCUAGCUAACAAGAAACUGAAUCAUUUGAAUAAGGGUUACCUUUAACAGUAAAACUCCACAACUGCAGGAAUCCUGUCGCUUGUUGUGUUGCAUAGUCUGUAACUGCCACUCCAUGGUGUCUUCAUGCCCUCUCAUCCUCAGAAAAUUCCUAGUUGAACAAAAGUGUUUGUAAUGAAACAAGAUUUUUUUUUUUUUAAUCUAAGAAUAACACCUCAGUAUCAUACAUACCUCCAGUUGCGCAGAAUUUUCCUGUCAUAAACACCUUCAUUCCCAUGGGGUCUAUGAGCAGUAUUUUCUGUGCAGAAAUGUUGACAAUCUAAAGAAAAAGUUAAAUUAAAAAUUACAAUUGUUUGUGCCACUGAAAACUUAUUUAAAAAUAACACUUUGUGCAAGAAACUGCUUCACAACAAAUUAUGCAAAUUAAUAACAAAAUGAACACAUACCACAAGAAUCCAGUGUGUACCAAAGUUCACAGGGCACAGCCACGUCUUCAACUGGGAACUUCAUCUGUGGGAUUGGAAGUGCAGAGUAAUUUGGAUUUACUUAGGUACCAUGCGUCUCAGGGUGUUUUCAAAUAUAGUCUUCUUUAAAGGAACCGAACUCUUUCCUCAGCAACAGAAAGGAGUCAACUGUUUGGACCACUUCUGAGCUUUCAACAUACCAGUUGAGGCAUCUGAACUGCCCAGAAAACAACGAGCUUGCAACUACUGAACAGAGCAGGUGUGCAGCAUUCUGCACAAGUAUAGAAAAAUGUUAUAGAACAGUAAAUAGGGUUUUUUUUUUAUUUCAAAAUUAGUAGGUAAAUGACAUUUCUUACUUACCUUUCGUCUGUCAAUAACACGGUGCAGAUAUGCAUCAAUGACCUGUUUUGAAAAAUCUGAGUUUAUACAACAACAGCAACAAUUUUUGAAGUAACUGCUUGAGUGCUGUACACAAAAACAUCUAAAGGAAUAGAAUUGCUGAUAAAGGUUCUUUCUGCAUAUACUGAAACUGGGUAUUAUGAUGUCACAACAUCUGUGUUGUGGUUGAUAACAUUUUUUCCUGUUGAAGUGAAUGGGUGAAACCUUAUCAGAGUUUUGCAAUAUAACCCCCCCCCCCCCCCCCCCACCUACCCGCACAUUUUAAACUAUUAAUGGUCUCUGCACUGCAAAUGCUUCAGAAGGAGCAGAACCUCGAAAUCAGACUCAAUAAUGAUAAGUUCUCUUACCUCAUCAGAAACCACCGUGACCCCUGCAGUGUUCGAA
ensembl:lncRNA